AACGAACGCUGGCGGCAUGCCUAACACAUGCAAGUCGAACGAGACCUUCGGGUCUAGUGGCGCACGGGUGCGUAACGCGUGGGAAUCUGCCCUUGGGUUCGGAAUAACAGUUAGAAAUGACUGCUAAUACCGGAUAAUGUCUUCGGACCAAAGAUUUAUCGCCCAGGAUGAGCCCGCGUAGGAUUAGCUAGUUGGUGAGGUAAAAGGCUCACCAAGGCGACGAUCCCUAGCUGGUCUGAGAGGAUGAUCAGCCACACUGGGACUGAGACACGGCCCAGACUCCUACGGGAGGCAGCAGUGGGGAAUAUUGGACAAUAGGGCGAAAGGA
rnacentral:rRNA from 1 species